rnacentral:rRNA from 1 species
GAUGAACGCUGGCGGCGUGCCUAAUACAUGCAAGUCGAGCGAACAGACGAGGAGCUUGCUCCUCUGACGUUAGCGGCGGACGGGUGAGUAACACGUGGAUAACCUACCUAUAAGACUGGGAUAACUUCGGGAAACCGGAGCUAAUACCGGAUAAUAUAUUGAACCGCAUGGUUCAAUAGUGAAAGACGGUUUUGCUGUCACUUAUAGAUGGAUCCGCGCCGCAUUAGCUAAUUGGUAAGGUAACGGCUUACCAAGGCGACGAUGCGUAGCCGACCUGAGAGGGUGAUCGGCCACACUGGAACUGAGACACGGUCCAGACUCCUACGGGAGGCAGCAGUAGGGAAUCUUCCGCAAUGGGCGAAAGCCUGACGGAGCAACGCCGCGUGAGUGAUGAAGGUCUUCGGAUCAUAAAACUCUGUUAUUAGGGAAGAACAAAUGUGUAAGUAACUAUGCACGUCUUGACGGUACCUAAUCAGAAAGCCACGGCUAACUACGUG